CUCAGUGAGCAGGCACUAUAAAACACUAUUCAGGUCCCCAUGCCUGGCAUUUACCCAUGCGGGUGUGAACCAUACAGGACCACACCUUACUUUGCAUAACAGGGCAUAUAAGGAAAUUUUGCCAACUUGGCAGCAUACAGUUUGUGUCUUUAAAUUAAUCAAACAGUUGACGUAAACUAUCACUGACUUGUGACAGGGCCUAAUAAUAGUUGGGACUGAUGCUAUAGUUGGGGCGCAACACAUACAUGCUCUCUAGACCUCUGUGUUGUAGUUUGGCCUGCCCGACUUUAGCAAUCUAUAUAAACCACUCAUGGGUCAGCUUUUCUGGAUUUUCUGAGUCCUAUAAUGGUACCUUCAAAUUGACAAGACACACAGGUCUCUCUGCGAAGAAUGUGUCUUCUGCAUUCUUCAAUGGCGAGUUGGAGAACAAAAUGCGAGAACAUGGCCAUCUGGACAUGUUCAACAUGGUGAAAGUUGACAGUGACAAAGAUAAAGUUCUCGCUGAAAUUGAAAAGCUGAGGAGAAAGGAGCCUUAUGAGCAUCGCAACUGUCAUGCAAAUUGCAAGGCCAAAGGAUGAUGUCUGCAAUCAAUGUGACCUUCCAGUACCGCAAGGCAGAAAAAAAAAACAAAGUGCCCUGCCUCCAAAUUGGGACAGUUUGCUUCUACACAUCAAACGAAAAAAUUACCAGACAGCUGUAUACCAGACAGCUGUAUGACUCCGUCAGACCAAAGUCUGCAAACUCUGCUAUUGAUGUAGAAAUUACCAUACAACAUGAAAUCUGCUGAAAUGAGCUUUUGAUAACCCUGGAUGAACCACAGGAUUCCUUUAGGUUUGAGCCUAUGGUAUAAAAUGCGGUACAGUUUUGCACUGUAAAUCAGAACUACUGGAAGUAUGUAACUCAUCGAAGUAUGUCCAAUCUUUUGAUUAAAAAUAUCUCAAGCAUUUUACAUUGCAGUUAGGAGUUUGUUGAAAAUUAACCAUUUAAUGAUUAAUUUCACACCAUGUAAACACACAAUAGCAGAAUGGCUUGAUUUAGCUGAUAAAAAUUAAAAAACUUUAAUCAGUUAAAUAAAGCCUGGAAUGAUUUAACUGAUAAAAAUUGAACAAUUUCUGGUAUUUUGUGUUUACUUGGUGUUAAAUCAUCCAGUAGGAUUAUUAGUCAACAUUUGCAGGCAUGUACAUGUACAUGUAUGAAAAGACCUAACUAGUUGGUCAGAAACAAAUGAUUAAUGUUUCUGAUUUUUAAAUAAACAUACUGUACUUGCGGUACACUUUGUUUGGUAAAUGAUGUUUUAAUGCUGUACCAGUACACAAUUUUGUAGGAUCUGUUUGUCAUUCAAUCAUGUUACUUGUAAUUACCUGUAUAAAUUUGUAGAAUUAUCUCACGGCAAUGGAUGGUUGUUUGUACAGUGCAUAACGCUAUAAUUUUAUAGUCCAUAAUUGGAAAUUCUUUUCACAUGUGAGGUGAACUGAAUCCUGUACAAUUGACUCUACAGCAAGUGUUAAUGUAGCAGGGAACAUCCAGUCAUAAUCUGUUCUAUAAUAACUAGAAUUAUUAAACAAAGGGGUAAAUGUAACCUUCAUAAUAUUUACCUUGGCUAGUUCUUUUCAUCGCAUGGACUUUCAAGAGUGGGUAAUU